CAAAAACAUAACUAUAUGAAAUAAUAUAUAGCUUUUUCUGCUCAAUGGUACUACUAAAUAGCCGCAGUACCCUGACUGUGCAAAGGUAGCAUAAUCAAUUGGCUUUUAAUUGAAGUCUUGUAUGAACGAAGUAAUGGGAAGUGACUAUCUAAGUGGAUUUAUUUGAAUUUGAUAAGUAAGUGCAAAUACUUACAAGACAAGAAAGAAGGACGAGAAGACCCUAGAAACUUGUAAAUUAUUUUGUUGGGGCGACAGAAUUACAUAGAACUAAUUUUAUAUGACUUGACGUAAAGCAGACAGAUAAAGUUACUCUAGGGAUAACAGCAUAAUUUUACCGUUUGUGACCUCGAUGUUGGACUAGGUAAGUAAUUCUUUAGAAGAGAGACUAUUUUGCUCUGUUCGAGCAGUUUUACCUACGUGAUCUGA
rnacentral:rRNA from 1 species